rnacentral:lncRNA from 1 species
AUCCAUAGUGCUUUCGUUGAUGAGAUAAGGUUUGGGAAACAAAGUUGGUGAGGAUUUCUCCUUGGGAAUAGUAGAUCCCAUCCAUCUAUUCAAAAUGGAUGACUUGGAUUUUAAAUAUAAAAAGUAUAUAAUAUAAAAUAAUAAUAUAUGGUUAGGGCUUUGAGGCUGGCCAAUGGUUGCCUCAACAUGGCCUGGAUCCUUUCGUGUCUUAAAUUUUGGGUGCAGGCUUGACCUGAACCUAUAGAGAGUUAGAGACCCAACCUAAAACCUGGUGCAAAGCCUGGCUAGAAUUCAGCCUAGGCCAAUUGGUGUUGGGCUAGUCCAGGUGUUGCCCAGAGGUGCAGCCCAAGAGGGGAGGUGAAUUGGAUCUCUUUAAAAAUAAUUAAAGUUAAAACGUAUGGAGAGUAUGAGUUACUGUUAUCUUAUAGAAGCAGCGGAAAUAAGAUUGCACAAAUACGACAGUGAAUAAAGUUAGGAAAGCAGUCAGGAAUAUGCAGAGGAAAGGAAGAGAAGACCCACAAUCACAAAUACGAAGGUUUAUAGUGGUUCGGUGCACUCCCAGCACCUACGUCCACUCCUCAAGCCUAGCUUGAGAUUUCACUAUAACCCAGCAGAUUACAGCCUGAUUGUUUUCCGAGCUCACAAUCAAAACCCAGUUGGUUUUUCCAGGCAACCAACCGAAAAUCUUUUGUUUUCGGGAUCACAAACAACCCAGUUGGUUUUCAGAUAAACCAACCAAAAACUUUACACUGUUUGUUUUCCCGAGCUUUCAAACAACCCAGUUGGUUUUUAGAUAAACCAACCAAAAACUUUACACCGUUUGUUUUCCCGGA